rnacentral:rRNA from 1 species
CUGCUGCCUCCCGUAGGAGUUUGGGCCGUGUCUCAGUCCCAAUGUGGCCGUCCACCCUCUCGGGCCGGCUACUGAUCGUCGCUUUGGUAGGCCGUUACCCUGCCAACUGGCUAAUCAGACGCGGGUCCAUCAUAUACCACCGGAGUUUUUCACACUGAGUCAUGCGACUCCGUGCGCUUAUGCGGUUUUAGCAGCAAUUUCUCGCUGUUAUCCCCCUGUAUAUGGCAGGUUACCCACGCGUUACUCACCCGUCGA